UGUGCUACAGAGGAGGCUUUUGUUCUUAAUUGUAGAAGAAUAUAGUCCUAAAUAAACUGUCUGGAGAAUGUCUUCUAGCAUUAAGAAAUGGUGAAAUUUAUUUUGAAAAGUUUUUCAAGGGUGUAAUAAUCGCAAAAACAGCUUUCAGUAAUCUCACUAAGAUUGUUUCCAUGAAUGCUGAGAGCUGUGGACACUUGUGAACAUUCACGUAAUAACGUAAUACAAUGUCAUAAACAUGUGUCAGAGUCAGGGAAGGGACAGCAAAUUUGCAGCAGCCUAGAAAAAGAAAUAUCUGAAUAAAGAUAAAUGGCACUUACUUGUCAAAACAGAAUGAGGUUUAUAAAGAUGAGUAAUGGAGAUCAGCAUUAUCUCCAGGAGGUUCUCUGAUUUGCUUCAACCCUAUUACAUACACUCAAAUUUUGUGUGCUGUUCAGUUACAGGUAAGACUAAAAAGCCUAAUGUUCAAUUUUGGAGAUGCUGCCCACAAGAACAUUGGGUUGUGUUCCCACAUGCACAUAUGAGGAGGAGGAAAUGAAACAUCAAAAUGAAAAGAAAAUGGAAUUUCACACCAAUGGCUCUCAAGAGAAAACUGAAGAUUUAUUCAAAUAUUUAUCCUCAUUUUGUGAACUACUGACUCUCCUCAUCCAAACAUGCAAAUGGGAUUAAGCAUAGCUUUGGAUCUUAAACAAACAAACAGUCCAAAGUUCUUACUAUGGAAAUAAUCAUAUUCUUCACAUUUGACUUGAAGCUGAAUUAUUACCAGAAAAAAAUAGAUUGUGGCAUUACAGUGUGUUAGUAAAUAGUAGAUAGACACAGGAGGCUACAAAAAUAAAGUAAGAUUUUCUCCACAUAAUGUCCUGUAAAACAUGUACACUUCACCUUCAUAUGUGAUAAAAGACACAUUUGAAGUCAGAGAAAUUAGGAAAUCAGAGAAAGGAAUCGAUAGCAUGACAUUUAGAAAAGAAGUUUCUUCCUUGCUACCUAAUUCCAAAAGGAGAAAGAAAAUACCAUGAAGAACUUGUCCAUUCUAGAGGUGUUUUUGUUGCUCUUUAUUUCCUUUGUAAAACGAACAUCUUAAUCUGUUCACAGUUUGGCACAUUAGAUUCAUUUCAAUGACAAUUCUUCCAGAUAUCCAAGUAACAAAACUGAAGGAGAGAUGCCACAUCUCAUACUUCUUUCUAUCCUUGCCUAUUAACACACACCUGUGCUUAGAAAGGAAAUAUUAUUGGACCUCAACUAAGAACUUUCUUUUUUUUUUUCCUUAUCACACACUUGUUUAUCACAGUGUAAUAGUCACAGUCUUCAUGAGGUUUGGGCAUGAUUCUGAUCCUUGACAGCUGGAGACAUGCAACAUUUUUGGGGUUCUUUCGUCACUCAGAUUUGAUAAUAAAAAAAUGAAAAAUGUGUCUUCACAAUUUCUUUUCAAAGACAUUCCAAACAACUGGAAGUGGCUACUCAGGAUACAGGUAUAAGGACAGCUUUGCCAUUUGAAUAUCAAUAUUUUUAUUUUGUGUUUUCAUGUACAUCUGUCUGCUCGCAAUCUAAAUGCUGCAGUGAACACAGGAUGUACCGUGAACUAGAACUUCCAUUUGCUAGUAGAUUUUUUUUCAUAAAUGUUCUUUGUAGUCUAUAUGAAUAUGGGCAUUUUAAUUAUUGAUCAGAAGCAUUAUUUCUUAUUUGCAUCUGUGUUGUGGAAGAGUUCUUAAAAACUGAGCAGAAAUUCACGCACAUUUAGAUUAUUCUCUUUUCUGGCUGUUCAUUAGUUAAACGCUUAUGCAACACCCUUCCUUACAAACUGCACUACAUCUCUCCCAUUACUGCUCUGACAAAUCUUUCUGGGCCUGAUCUGCAGGCCUAUGAAGUCAAUAGGAGCCCAUCCAACAGCCCCAGCAGGCUUUGGGUCCAGUCUCUCUCACUUCCAACUUCUUAGUAAGAAAAAAUAUGCACAACACCAGAAGGUGUAAAAUAUGAAUCAGGUAAUAUUCUGUAAUGCAUGUGGGUAAAACAAUGGACUUUGGUCCACCUUUGUGACAAACAUGUCAAGAAAUCAGUGUGAUACCUGUUCACUGCAAAGUAGGAAUGAAAAUCCAGCAAAUAUUUUUGACAGAAGCUAAAUUUCCUUGGUUAAAAGGCUGUCUUUCUGAAAUGAAGUUUCUUUGAUACAUCUCUCUCACUUUGUUUUUUGCCCAGUCCCUUUACCUUUGAAAUAUAUUCUGCGCUGGCCAAACCCUCUUCCUCUGAAGUCAAUGGGAGUUUUACCAUUGAUUUCAAUGGGACAAUGAUCAUACACAGGUUGCAAAACACAGUGAGAAAAAAUAUCAUUGUCAAAGUUGAAAGUAUGAGAAACAUUCACACGAUUUGACAAUUCCACCGUAAAACCUCCAGCAUCAACCAGCUUUUCCGUGUGUUUCCCGCAACUCACGCCCGGCAGCGCAGGAUAACACAAAGCCCCGCGCCCCGGUGCCUUCAACACUCGGCAUCGGAGUUGAGCCCCAGUCUGCGAGGAGUUAGCACAGCCACGCGCUAAUCCGACAGCAAACAUUUUGCAAGCAUCAACCCUUCCCUAAGGGACGAGCAUUCUGCCGCCGGAGCCCAGGGAAGCGCAUGGGAGGGCGCAGCCAGGACGGGCAGCGGGCACCUGGCCGCUCCACUACUCAGAGAAGAAGACAUUGUGACAUUAAGCUGUGCUCGUAAUUGCCAUGUGUAAAAAUAUUUAUUUCGGAAAGUGUGCAUUCAGAGAAGUUAAAUCUGUCCUUGAUUAAUGAAGCUGUCUAGUCUGGGAAUGGAAGAUAAUAUGUGCAAAAUGGAGACUGAUCCCAUGAGCAUCUGGCACUGAAAGAUGGGAAAGGUACUGGGGAAUAAGGCUAGGGUGAAGACAGUGAAUACAAGAAGCCGGUGUAUUACACAGGAAACUGGGCCUGGAAAUAAAAUACCACAUCAUUUGGAAAAGGUGACAGCAAGAAAGAAAUUCAUGUUCUUUCUCACAGCCAGGUUGUUCUGUAAAACACUUCCCAUUGCUCAUUAGUGGGUGAGGAUUGUAACGUAACGCCUACAUCCUCUCAGAAACCUCUACACAUUAUUUCUAAAUUGCUACCUGUGGCAUAGAAAAAGUCCUCCUAAAACAGGCCUGAAACUCUAGGAAAUUCUAAAAAUUCUAAGUUCGUGGGAUUGGCUGGCUUAGAGGAUCUUUGAUUUCCCUGAGCAGGAAGAUUUUAGGGAUUUUAGGGUAUUUUACUGUUGGUUUUGUUUGUUUUGUUUGUUUGUUUGGCACCCAGAUCAAUGCCUCAGACAUGGUCAACUACCACUGUGUUGCCUUAGCCUGAGGAAAGAAAAAGGCCAGAGACUCAUUGCUGCCUUUUGCAUGAUUUAAUGGGAGAAGAUGAAGUCUUGAUCCUGUUUUCAUUAGUAUCAGUAACAAAAUCAAGAAGUGACUGAUACAUCAGCAGAAUGUUUUGAGUGUAGCAGAAUGCCUGACUUCAAGAGCAGAUGUUUGGGAUGGGAAAGAGAUGUAAAUCUAUGCUGAAAAAGGUGUUAAAUUUAGGCUAUAUUUCAACAUGUUGUGGCAAGUGUAGUCAUUAAUAGAUCAAAAAUUAAUGAAAUCUCAUCACUCCUGAAGAUAGUCUAUUAAAAAUCAGAGAGAGAUAUAUAGUUUAGCUGGUUGCUUUUCACUGUGUUUUUUCACUAAGUCUGAAAGUGUUUUUUUCUCCUUGAGAAUGGCCCACUGUCAUACAGGAGAGGUAAAGGGCAUCAGAUUGCAUAUGUUGUGUGGGACUAGCUGAUUCAGGUUCAUACUGGUCCUGGCUAUUCAAGCUUCCAGCCCAACACAUUGUACAAUAAAUGUGGUCUUUGGUAGCCAUUAUUUUAAGGAGCCAUUACUUUAACUCAAUAACAAUUGAGCUCUCUGUUAUUUAUUAAAAUUUUCAUGUAUUCAUUUUUAUUCUAAAGGCUUUUCUAUUUCUCUUCUUCCUAUUUUUUUUCCUACUAGAGGCUUCAUUGUGUUUAUUUUCACUACCAUAGCUUGAAGAACUACACACCACUUAUUACAAAAAUGGCAAUAAAAAAUGUAGCACAUAAUAAAAUAAAGAGAACUUGACAUUGUAUGAGAAAAUGCAAAAAUAGCAACAAUGGAUCAUAGAAUCUGAGAAUAAGAGAAUCACACAGAGAAUCAUUGGAUUGGAAGGGACCUAAAUGGCCAUCCAAAUCUAUCCUCACUGCCACGGGCUGGGACCUCUCAUGAGAUCAGGUUACUGAAAACGCAAUCCAACGUGGCCUUGGACACCUCCAGAGAUGGGGCAUCCACAGCUUCUCUGGGCAGCCUGUGCCCGUGCCUCACCACUCUCUUCAUGAAGAAUUUCUUCCUAAUAUCUAAUCAAAGUCUACUUAUCUUAUUUCAAAGCCAUUACCCUUUGUUCUAUCAAUAUUUGUUCUAUCACUAUAUGCCCUUGUAAAAAUUCUCUCUCCAUCUGUACCAGUCCCAGUCUCAAUUAUCACAGAUAAGGAUGGUAAAAUUUAAAAUCUUUGCUUUUCAUAGAGAUACUGUAUGACUGCAACAUCUUUGAUCUCAUUGACCCCUUUAAAAAAAGUGAGUUUUUGACACUCCAAAACAAUGCUUUCUAUGUGAAAAAAUAUGGAGAAAAUUAUACUGAGUGUUAUGUGAUGGCUCCUCUUCUAUAUACAGCAGAAAAGAACCAAGGUUGAAGCUUGUAAUACUGGUGUUCUAACAAAACAUAAAAUUUGAUUACAAUUCAACAUUUGACCAUUAAAAUUCAUGCUGUUUUCUCAUAUGUAGAUAUAUUCUCUAAAUUGUUAAAAAAAAAAUAAUGUAGCAAAUAGUAAUAGGAGUACAUGCUGCCUGCAUUUUCAGUUUUAUAUUCAAUUUCCAGUAAUAAUUAUGAUAAUUAGAAUACAGAGAGGUUUUAUUUGUUAAAGAUCUGAUCUAUCACAAAGGUAUGUUGCAGGCAAUGAUAUCCCAAUAUUUAAAACUUGCAUUCUGUUCUAUUUGUAGUAUCUCGUGAAUCAACUAAAGUGCCUUUCAAAAACUUUAUAAAAAGUAAUAUGUUUAAGGAUCAUAGGGGAUUAUACAGUUUAAUAUAUUACAAGAAUAGACAUAAUUUUUAAGAAACCUAACCAGUAUUCUGUCAGGUUGGAACUUGCCAUCAUAACCCACUAAAAAUAUGCUUCACUGAGUUUGAAUUUUUUGAGCUGUCUGCAUAUUAUUGACUUUUCUGGUUUCUGAAAACCACUAUAUCAGAAGUCCCUUCCCCCCAUUGUUUUUAUACCAGAAAAAAUCAAUUCAAAUCUUAGAUAUACAAAGCAACAAAGGUAAUCUAACCUUGACACAUUUCAGAAUUUAUACCAUUUCCUUCUUUAUUUUGUUGAAGCUCUCCUUCGCAGGCUUAUCUGCAAUACUUGAGAGUUAUGACAACUCUUUCUAAAUAUACAAGAAAACAUACUAAACCAUAGUAGGUUGAGAGCCAGAUUAUUUAAAAUCAUAGUGAAGUGUGACUAGCAUAUUAAAAAGCGUUUUUCAUCUUGGGGGAAAAAAACCCAAAGAUACUAUGCUUAGAAUCAAGUUCAGACUUCUGAUCUUCAUGCAUGACUCCUUUUAGAAAGAAAAAUCUGAUAUACAAAGACCUAACAUUAAUUUUAAUAGAAAAUCAGUGGAUUAAUGCAUCUGGAGUUAUUUGGUCAUUGGUCACCCAUGCUAGUUAUCAUUUUCACGAGUAUAUGAUCCUUUUACUGCUCUGUUUAGUCUAAACUAACAUAUUUGUCCUACUAACCCAUUUUCCACUCAAAUAAGCAUAGAUAAAAUAAAUGCAAAUAUAAACAUAGCCUAAGAUACAUAAGAAGAAUAACUCAGCUAUAUUACUAUAGAUUCCACAUAUAUUUUGUUUGUUCUGUUUUGUUUUACUUGUUUGUUAUUUUUAUUUCAUGAAACAAUCUGGUACAUGAAGGUAGCAAGAGAAGUGACAACAAAUAUGGCUAUGUGGCUGUCAGAUGGGAAAAUUAUGUGUAGAAUUUGUAAUUUUGGAUACGUGAUAUGGAAAAAGAAGAAAUCUUAAUACUGAGGACCACGGUUUACUAAAUGAAAAGAGUCACAUGCAAACAAGCCAGUGAAGAUGUGAAGAUGAGAAUGAAGUUCCCAGAAUGGGGGAACCAGAGUGAGAGAACUGGAAUAAGACAUGAAGGCAGAAAAAGAAACAGGAGAGUCUGUGAUACUAGAGCAUACUGUCAUGCAAAACUUGGAAAUGAACCA
ensembl:lncRNA